rnacentral:rRNA from 1 species
GCUUUACUGUAACUUGAGAUUGAAAUUGGACUUUAUUUGCGCAGUAUAGGUGGGAGACGUUGAGAAUAUUCUUGCGGGAAUAUUGGAGUCAUCAGUGAGAUACCACUCUUGUAAUGUUAGAUUUCUAACUUUGAAUCAUUAUCUGGUCAAAGGACAGUUUCAGGCGGGCAGUUUGACUGGGGCGGUCGCCUCCCAAACGGUAACGGAGGCGCACAAAGGUUUCCUCUGAACGUGUAGAAAUCGUAUCUAGAGUGUAAAGGCAUAAGGAAGCUUGACUGUGAGACCUACAAGUCGAGCAGGGACGAAAGUCGGUCUUAGUGAUCUGACGGUGCUG